UAGGACAUUGUUUUACAAUCAUUCUUG
rnacentral:piRNA from 1 species